rnacentral:rRNA from 1 species
CCACCGCGGUUAUACGAGAGGCCCAAGUUGAUGGCCAACGGCGUAAAGAGUGGUUAAGGGUAACCCAAAAUAAAGUCGAACGCCCUCAGAGCUGUUAUACGCUCCCGAAGGUAAGAAGCCCCCCUACGAAAGUGACUUUACCCCACCUGACCCCACGAAAGCUGUGAAACAAACUGGGAUUAGAUACCCCACUAUGCCCAGCCCUAAACUUUGAUAAUAACCUACACCUAUUAUCCGCCCGGGUAUUACGAGCACCAGCUUAAAACCCAAAGGACUUGGCGGUGCUUUAGAUCCACCUAGAGGAGCCUGUCCUAGAACCGAUAACCCCCGUUCAACCUCACCCUCCCUUGUUUUUCCCGCCUAUAUACCGCCGUCGUCAGCUUACCCUGUGAAGGCCUCAUAGUAAGCAAAAUUAGUACAACUUAAAACGCCAGGUCGAGGUGUAGCAAAUGAGAGGGGAAGAGAUGGGCUACAUUUCCUAAGCUAGGAAAUACGGACAAGGCCUUGAAAAUUAGGCCUUAGAAGGAGGAUUUAGCAGUAAGCAAAAAAUAGAGAGUUUUGCUGAAACCGGCCCUGAAGCGCGCACACACCGCCCGUCACUCUCCCCAAGCCAAUCUACACACAUAAAUAAAGAACUAAACAGGCAAAGGGGAGGCAAGUCGUAACAUGGUAAGUG